UCAGGCUCUCAUGAAUUUUUAAUUGGUGUAGUCUACAAAACGUUCUGUGAAACUCUCAAUUCUGUCUAGUAAAAUGCUUACUGCAUCUAAACAUUUUAUGUCAGUGACACUGAGUUAGUUCGCAUGAAUAAUGUAGAAUAUAAAUUAUUCCACUUUAAAAAUCUUUUCGUGCUAUCAAAAGUCUAUUAGCAGUUUUAGAAAAAAAAUAAAAUUAUGUAAAAUAUCUAACAAUGACGAUUUAUAAAUAAAAUUUACUUUUUUCACAAAAUUGAAGAGCAUCUUUUUAUCGUCCAAUUUUUUUUAUAGUAAUUCAAUUGAAAAUAUUUUAUAAACUUAUUAAUGAAGUAGAAAAAUGAAUAUUCGACGAAAUAAAAAUUUUAUUUGAGCAACUUAUCAUAUAACUUUUUUCCUAUUUCUAUCCUACUUCGACUAAUGGAACCUUCUUUUUGAUGAGUGUCGCUGAAACCAACUAGUAGUGGCAAAGGUACUAGAGGGAGGUCUCAAGGUCAUUGAGAGGCCGCACGCGCGGGUUUAUCUCACAAAUACAUAUAUUCAUUUAGUAUGACAUUCAUAGUGUUGCAGCAUUACACACGUUUGCACACAGGCACGUACUUCCUCUAUCACGUCAUCACUGACACAAUCAUGAAUACCUUUUAUAUAUUUAUUCUGUGUUAUUUAAACAAGUUGAACCACUCUUUUUUACUCCCACUUAAUCAAUACGUCUAACAGAUUCAUGACAACGAUACUGUAAAAUAAACUAAGAAAACUUAAGUUCUAUUUAUCCAAGAAUUAUAGUGUAGUUAGAAAUGAGAUCUCUAACUUAAAUUAUUUUGGUUUUCUAGCUUAAAAUCGAAACUUACAUGCCGCACGACCUGUUAACGGAUAAACCAGGUAGUUUGAGCACAGGGGACAAAGCACGUGGACGCACGGGAAGCAGCGCCAGAAGAAAGAACAGCUCACGUC